UCAAGCUAAUGUGAAGGCUGCAUGCGCUUCGUGUCUGCCAAAACUGUUAAAAAACGAAGUUAAAAUUAUUUGAAAAAAUGAAAGUUUAUCAUAUCCCAUAGCACCUGGUUGAUUAGAGAACAAGGUCCAGUCUUUGGUGACUGAAGAAGUGGUUUAGCCAACAAGAAAAAGAGGAAAAUCACACACCACCACUUUCAGUGUCUCACGUGCAAUAUUGUUCUGUAGGUCUCCAAUCUCCAGAGACACAGAAUAGUUUCCAAAGAGAAGUGGAUUCAGGCUGACAAGGCCACCUUGCUGACCUGGUGAAACAUGCAAAGACAGUUUAAAGAUGCCUUCCUCAUUCCCACUGAUGAAGAAGUACUUUGCACGCCAUCCAUCAGUGUUGGGAGUGUCUUUGUCAUCUACUGCCAAUCUCAGAAUGUCAUCCUUGAUCUCCAGUUCUG